AUUGAACGCUGGCGGCAGGCUUAACACAUGCAAGUCGAACGGUAGCAGGAGGAAGCUUGCUUUCUUGCUGACGAGUGGCGGACGGGUGAGUAAUGCUUGGGAAUCUGGCUUAUGGAGGGGGAUAACUACGGGAAACUGUAGCUAAUACCGCGUAGAAUCGGAAGAUGAAAGUGCGGGACCGCAAGGCCGCAUGCCAUGAGAUGAGCCCAAGUGGGAUUAGGUAGCUGGUGGGGUAAAGGCCUACCAAGCUUGCGAUCUCUAGCUGGUCUGAGAGGAUGGCCAGCCACACUGGAACUGAGACACGGUCCAGACUCCUACGGGAGGCAGCAGUGGGGAAUAUUGCGCAAUGGGGGGAACCCUGACGCAGCCAUGCCGCGUGAAUGAAGAAGGCCUUCGGGUUGUAAAGUUCUUUCGGUAUUGAGGAAGGUUGAUGUGUUAAUAGUACAUCAAAUUGACGUUAAAUACAGAAGAGGCACCGGCUAACUCCGUGCCAGCAGCCGCGGUAAUACGGAGGGUGCGAGCGUUAAUCGGAAUAACUGGGCGUAAAGGGCACGCAGGCGGUUAUUUAAGUGAGGUGUGAAAGCCCCGGGCUUAACCUGGGAAUUGCAUUUCAGACUGGGUAACUAGAGUACUUUAGGGAGGGGUAGAAUUCCACGUGUAGCGGUGAAAUGCGUAGAGAUGUGGAGGAAUACCGAAGGCGAAGGCAGCCCCUUGGGAAUGUACUGACGCUCAUGUGCGAAAGCGUGGGGAGCAAACAGG
rnacentral:rRNA from 1 species